AGGGCAGAGACCCUGGGCGCAUCAGCAUGUCAGGAGUGGGCAGCAGUGCCUCAAAAGCAAUGUAGAAAUUUCCAGAGUGGAAAUGCAUAACCAUGUUAUUCUGCAUCUUUGUGGGCUGGAGUACAGCACUGUGCUAUUUUUGUGAGGCUUUUGUUCAGUUGAUUAAAAAAAUAGUAUCUUUGAAAAGAACAUUAGAGAACACCAUGGGAAACUUAUAAUUGCCUAAACAUUUAAGUUUUCUAAGUUGUUGACGACAGCUGGUCGAGCAGUCUUUUCUUCUACUCUCCAAUUUAGAGGGAAAUGCUGCCAACAAUCUCUCACCAGCAGAGGGACCAACCUGGAUGCUUUCCUUGUAGCAGAGGCUGCUUUGGGGGUGAAAGUGAAACGAGAGCACCCAGGCUGUCUGAUGCAUUCAGAAGGUGAAAGAUCAUUACUCAGUAGGAUCUCUUCAAAGGCCAGGGUAAUACAAGGCAGAUGUUCUUCCAACUCAGACCAGAACCUUCUAGUACCUCAAACCACCUGGGCCUGGUGAUAUGAAAGAGGGAAUCCAGGCCAACCUCAGAAGACCUGAUAGGAAAGAUCUUGGAGUCUGGUUUAGAUUGGUCUACCCUAAAAGUUAUAGACAUCUUAUGCAAAACUGCAUAAUAAAAUGUAUGUCUG